CCCCACUCCUUCCUCCCACCCCCAGCUGGAAAUAAUUUUUCUUUCUAUUCAGAAUUAGCUAUAAAGUGUGAAAUCCUGACCUCGUCAAAGCCACUUUUGAUAUCAGUAUAGUGAGAACUUCACUCUGCCUUUAGGAAGUCUUGAAAUAUUUUUGAAAAUGAGAUGAAGCUAUAAGUAGUGAAAACAUGUACAGCAAUUCCUGUUAGUGACUUCAUGGUAUAAGGCCAUUCAGGUUAAAGACUGAUAAAAAUGUACACCUGGUAUGUGUACAAAGAUAUGUUCUCACCCAUGUGCACAUGUACAUAAACAUAUGUGUUCAAAAGGGCUGACCUAAUAGAUGGGACUCCAGCUUUGGUGAACUCUGGUCAGGAUACAGCCCUACACAGGAGGAAGUACAAGAGAAGAACCUAGAAACUCAGAUGUGUUGAAGUACCUCAAAUAAAUAAGAGUAAUCAGAGAACGACAGGAUUUGCAAGAUAAAGUGGGUGCUUACCUGUUUGGUUUGCCAUCUGCUUUACUUUGGACCAAAUACCAGCGUAUUCAGUCCAAAACAACAUCAAAGAAAUUUUGUAAUGCUGCACUGCUUUGGAUGGUGGUAAUAAUGAUGAAAUGAAUUGAGGGCCAUAGCUACCUGAACUGAU
rnacentral:lncRNA from 1 species